GGGUUGUGAGGUUAAGCGACUAAGCGUACACGGUGGAUGCCCUGGCAGUCAGAGGCGAUGAAGGACGUGCUAAUCUGCGAAAAGCGUCGGUAAGGUGAUAUGAACCGUUAUAACCGGCGAUGUCCGAAUGGGGAAACCCAGUGUGAUUCGUCACACUAUCGUUAACUGAAUACAUAGGUUAACGAGGCGAACCGGGGGAACUGAAACAUCUAAGUACCCCGAGGAAAAGAAAUCAACCGAGAUUCCCCCAGUAGCGGCGAGCGAACGGGGAGCAGCCCAGAGUCUGAAUCAGCUUGUGUGUUAGUGGAACGGUCUGGAAAGUCCGACGGUACAGGGUGAUAGUCCCGUACACCAAAAUGCACAGGUUGUGAACUCGAAGAGUAGGGCGGGACACGUGGUAUCCUGUCUGAAUAUGGGGGGACCAUCCUCCAAGGCUAAAUACUCCUGACUGACCGAUAGUGAACCAGUACCGUGAGGGAAAGGCGAAAAGAACCCCGGCGAGGGGAGUGAAAAAGAACCUGAAACCGUGUACGUACAAGCAGUGGGAGCACCUUCGGGUGUGACUGCGUACCUUUUGUAUAAUGGGUCAGCGACUUAUAUUCUGUAGCAAGGUUAACCGUAUAGGGGAGCCGCAGGGAAACCGAGUCUUAACUGGGCGUUAAGUUGCAGGGUAUAGACCCGAAACCCGGUGAUCUAGCCAUGGGCAGGUUGAAGGUUGGGUAACACUAACUGGAGGACCGAACCGACUAAUGUUGAAAAAUUAGCGGAUGACUUGUGGCUGGGGGUGAAAGGCCAAUCAAACCGGGAGAUAGCUGGUUCUCCCCGAAAGCUAUUUAGGUAGCGCCUCGUGAACUCAUCUUCGGGGGUAGAGCACUGUUUCGGCUAGGGGGUCAUCCCGACUUACCAACCCGAUGCAAACUACGAAUACCGAAGAAUGUUAUCACGGGAGACACACGGCGGGUGCUAACGUCCGUCGUGAAGAGGGAAACAACCCAGACCGCCAGCUAAGGUCCCAAAGUCAUGGUUAAGUGGGAAACGAUGUGGGAAGGCACAGACAGCCAGGAUGUUGGCUUAGAAGCAGCCAUCAUUUAAAGAAAGCGUAAUAGCUCACUGGUCGAGUCGGCCUGCGCGGAAGAUGUAACGGGGCUAAACCAUGCACCGAAGCUGCGGCAGCGACACUAUGUGUUGUUGGGUAGGGGAGCGUUCUGUAAGCCUGCGAAGGUGACCUGUGAGGGUUGCUGGAGGUAUCAGAAGUGCGAAUGCUGACAUAAGUAACGAUAAAGCGGGUGAAAAGCCCGCUCGCCGGAAGACCAAGGGUUCCUGUCCAACGUUAAUCGGGGCAGGGUGAGUCGACCCCUAAGGCGAGGCCGAAAGGCGUAGUCGAUGGGAAACAGGUUAAUAUUCCUGUACUUGGUGUUACUGCGAAGGGGGGACGGAGAAGGCUAUGUUAGCCGGGCGACGGUUGUCCCGGUUUAAGCAUGUAGGCUGGUUAUCCAGGCAAAUCCGGAUAAUCAAGGCUGAGGUGUGAUGACGAGGCACUACGGUGCUGAAGUAACAAAUGCCCUGCUUCCAGGAAAAGCCUCUAAGCAUCAGGUAACAUCAAAUCGUACCCCAAACCGACACAGGUGGUCAGGUAGAGAAUACCAAGGCGCUUGAGAGAACUCGGGUGAAGGAACUAGGCAAAAUGGUGCCGUAACUUCGGGAGAAGGCACGCUGGUGUGUAGGUGAAGUCCCUGCGGAUGGAGCUGAGACCAGUCGAAGAUACCAGCUGGCUGCAACUGUUUAUUAAAAACACAGCACUGUGCAAACACGAAAGUGGACGUAUACGGUGUGACGCCUGCCCGGUGCCGGAAGGUUAAUUGAUGGGGUUAUCCGUAAGGAGAAGCUCUUGAUCGAAGCCCCGGUAAACGGCGGCCGUAACUAUAACGGUCCUAAGGUAGCGAAAUUCCUUGUCGGGUAAGUUCCGACCUGCACGAAUGGCGUAAUGAUGGCCAGGCUGUCUCCACCCGAGACUCAGUGAAAUUGAACUCGCUGUGAAGAUGCAGUGUACCCGCGGCAAGACGGAAAGACCCCGUGAACCUUUACUAUAGCUUGACACUGAACAUUGAGCCUUGAUGUGUAGGAUAGGUGGGAGGCUUUGAAGCGUGGACGCCAGUCUGCGUGGAGCCAACCUUGAAAUACCACCCUUUAAUGUUUGAUGUUCUAACGUUGGCCCCUUACCGGGGUUGCGGACAGUGUCUGGUGGGUAGUUUGACUGGGGCGGUCUCCUCCCAAAGCGUAACGGAGGAGCACGAAGGUUAGCUAAUCCUGGUCGGACAUCAGGAGGUUAGUGCAAUGGCAUAAGCUAGCUUGACUGCGAGCGUGACGGCGCGAGCAGGUGCGAAAGCAGGUCAUAGUGAUCCGGUGGUUCUGAAUGGAAGGGCCAUCGCUCAACGGAUAAAAGGUACUCCGGGGAUAACAGGCUGAUACCGCCCAAGAGUUCAUAUCGACGGCGGUGUUUGGCACCUCGAUGUCGGCUCAUCACAUCCUGGGGCUGAAGUAGGUCCCAAGGGUAUGGCUGUUCGCCAUUUAAAGUGGUACGCGAGCUGGGUUUAGAACGUCGUGAGACAGUUCGGUCCCUAUCUGCCGUGGGCGCUGGAGAAUUGAGGGGGGCUGCUCCUAGUACGAGAGGACCGGAGUGGACGCAUCACUGGUGUUCGGGUUGUCAUGCCAAUGGCACUGCCCGGUAGCUAAAUGCGGAAGAGAUAAGUGCUGAAAGCAUCUAAGCACGAAACUUGCCCCGAGAUGAGUUCUCCCUGAGACUUUAAGUCUCCUGAAGGAACGUU
rnacentral:rRNA from 1 species